GACGAACGCUGGCGGCGUGCCUAAUACAUGCAAGUUGAGCGCUGAAGGUUGGUACUUGUACCGACUGGAUGAGCAGCGAACGGGUGAGUAACGCGUGGGGAAUCUGCCUUUGAGCGGGGGACAACAUUUGGAAACGAAUGCUAAUACCGCAUAAAAACUUUAAACACAAGUUUUAAGUUUGAAAGAUGCAAUUGCAUCACUCAAAGAUGAUCCCGCGUUGUAUUAGCUAGUUGGUGAGGUAAAGGCUCACCAAGGCGAUGAUACAUAGCCGACCUGAGAGGGUGAUCGGCCACAUUGGGACUGAGACACGGCCCAAACUCCUACGGGAGGCAGCAGUAGGGAAUCUUCGGCAAAGGACGAAAGUCUGACCGAGCAACGCCGCGUGAGUGAAGAAGGUUUUCGGAUCGUAAAACUCUGUUGGUAGAGAAGAACGUUGGUGAGAGUGGAAAGCUCAUCAAGUGACGGUAACUACCCAGAAAGGGACGGCUAACUACGUG
rnacentral:rRNA from 1 species